rnacentral:lncRNA from 1 species
AGUGGCUUUUGGCCAGAAACUGCACCAUCAGCCUUUCUUUAAGGCUCUGCGUGAUGUGCCUUCCCCACUAAUCUAAUCUCCGACGUGGUGUACGGUCAUGUCUGCUGUUUUUUCUUUGUGAGGAGACAGUCAUGAAGCCCAGCCCACACCCAGGAGGAGGGAAGUUCUUGUGCUUUCAGAUAGGAAGGUCCUGAGCAUCUAUUGCAAAUCAGUUCUCUCACAGCUCUACAUUCUGCCUCCACAAAAUAAUGAAAAAAUAUAUGUUUUGGAAUCAAGGCAAGCAUCACAAGCCAGGUAGCCACACUGUGGACUGAAAGAUAAGUGGAGAGCCAGAAGAGGAAAACAGACCCAAGGAUGAUUAAUUUUCCCUGAACCAGAACAGCAUACUCUGAUCGGAGAAAACCAGCCUCACUUAACAUUUAACAAACCACUAUCCACAGAAUGAAUUUCCAUGGUAACCCAGGGCUGCAGAGUACCAAACUUCUGGAUCAGCCCAUUUUGUGCGUCCUGGUCACAUCUUGUGCCAUCUGACUCUUACUGAAUGUCUGCUGUGCGUAAGGCUUGUGGUGCGUCUCAUCAUUACCAGAUAGAAUUUGGACGAAACCCAACCACCCUCUCCAAU